CAGCCGCCGCGGUAAUACGUAGGGUGCGAGCGUUAAUCGGAUUUACUGGGCGUAAAGCGUGCGCAGGCGGCCCGUUAAGACAGGUGUGAAAUCCCUGGGCUCAACCUAGGAAUUGCGCUUGUAACUGGCGGGCUCGAGUACGGUAGAGGGGGGUGGAAUUCCUGGUGUAGCAGUGAAAUGCGUAGAGAUCAGGAGGAACACCGAUGGCGAAGGCAGCCCCCUGGGCCUGUACUGACGCUCAUGCACGAAAGCGUGGGGAGCAAACAGGAUUAGAUACCCUGGUAGUCCACGCCCUAAACGAUGGGUACUAGCCGUUUGGUGCGCGAUAGCGCUGAGUGGCGAAGCUAACGCGUGAAGUACCCCGCCUGGGGAGUACGGCCGCAAGGUUGAAACUUAAAGGAAUUGGCGGG
rnacentral:rRNA from 1 species